AUAAAGUAUUCAGCUCUUAGUAAUUGUGCAAUAAAUGUUGGUUUACUAACAGCCUAGCAACAUAAUAAGGCUGUUGGAUUUGACAGAACGUGCAGAAAAUAAGUGCUGAUUGUUUCUCAGAGCUCGCCUUUGUAUUUCUGCUAAGUAUAUUUAGCUAGUCUGCUGACGAAAUGAAAAACUGAACAGUGGAAUUUGUACUCAGGAAGUUAUGUAACAUUUUAUGACAGGUCUUAAAAUAAUGAAAAUUCAGCCACUGAAUGUUUCAAACAUGUAUUUGCUGUGUUGCCAAAGUAGAAAGAGCAGAAGAGAACCACCAUGGGAAGAAAGACUAUUUUGCUUCUGAUUGCAGGAGUACUUGGGCAUAUUAUGUUUAUAUUCCUCUCCCAGAUAACAUUAAGGAACCCUGGCAACUAGUGUGGAUAGCUAUACCUGUGAAAAUGAUAACAAAUUUGGCUUUGUUAGUCGAAUUCUUGGGAAUCAAUCAUUUUGUAAACAC
rnacentral:lncRNA from 1 species